GACGAACGCUGGCGGCGUGGAUUAGGCAUGCAAGUCGAACGGUAUCAUCCUUUCGGGGGUGAGAGAGUGGCGAACUGGUGAGUAACACGUAGGUUAUCUACCCUCAAGACGGGGACAACCCAGGGAAACUUGGGCUAAUACCGGAUGUGAGCAACUUUUAGUUGUUUGAAAGGUGGCGUAAGCUGUCGCUUGGGGAUGAGCCUGCGUCCUAUUAGUUAGUUGGUGAGGUAACGGCUCACCUAGGCAAUGAUAGGUAGGCGGCCUUAACGGGUGGUCGCCCACACUGGGAUUGAGAUACGGCCCAGACUCCUACGGGAGGCAGCAGUCGAGAAUAGUCUACAAUGGUCGGAAGACUGAUAGUGCGACGCCGCGUGAACGAUGAAUCCCUUCGGGGUGUAAAGUUCUUUUAUAUGUGAGCAGUGCUUCUUAUAUUAACAGUAUGGGGAGAGAGAUAUUAGCAUAUGAAAUAAGCAACGGCUAACUCCGUGCCAGCAGCCGCGGUAAUA
rnacentral:rRNA from 1 species